rnacentral:rRNA from 1 species
UACAGGGGGUGCAAACGUUGCUCGGAAUCAUUGGGCGUAAAGCGCACGUAGGCGGUUCGUUAUGUCGGAUGUGAAAGCCCUUGGCUUAACCGAGGAAGUGCAUCCGAAACUGGCGAGCUAGAGUACGAAAGAGGAUCGCGGAAUUCCCGGUGUAGAGGUGAAAUUCGUAGAUAUUCGCAAGAACACCAGUGGCGAAGGCGGCUCACUGGCCCGGUACUGACGCUGAGGUGCGAAAGCGUGGGGAGCAAACA